rnacentral:lncRNA from 15 species
GUGACUAACAUCACUUCUCUUCUGUUCUUCUUCCUCUCUGCUCUGUCUUCCCUCCCUCGUCUUCCUCUUUCCACAUUUCUCAGAGUUUUUAAGAAGUCGAGCCCCAACUGUAAGGUGACAGUUUACCUGGGAAAGAGGGACUUUGUGGAUCACCUGGACCACGUGGACCCAGUAGAUGGAGUGAUCCUCGUCGACCCCGAGUAUCUGAAGGACAGGAAAGUCUUCGUCACUCUGACCUGUGCGUUUCGAUACGGCCGUGAGGACCUGGACGUGCUGGGUCUGUCUUUCAGGAAGGAUCUCUACAUCUCCACCUUCCAGGCCUUCCCUCCGGUCCCUGAGGAGAAGAAACCCAACAGUCGUCUGCAGGAGAGGCUGCUGAAGAAGCUCGGUCAGCAUGCACACCCGUUCUACUUCACUAUUCCUCAGAACCUCCCGUGUUCAGUCACUUUACAGCCCGGCCCAGAGGACACUGGGAAGGCCUGUGGUGUGGACUUUGAGAUCAGAGCUUUCUGUGCCAAGUCAAUAGAAGAGAAGAUUCACAAGAGGAACUCGGUGCGUCUGGUGAUCAGGAAGGUGCAGUACGCUCCGGAGAAGCCCGGUCCUCAGCCGAUGGUGGAGACGACCCGCAGCUUCCUGAUGUCUGACAGAUCCCUACACCUGGAGCUGUACUACCACGGAGAGCCCAUCAGCGUCAACGUCCACGUCACCAACAACUCCACCAAGACCGUCAAGAGAGUCAAGAUCUCCGUGCGUCAGUAUGCAGACAUCUGCCUGUUCAGUACUGCCCAGUAUAAAUGUCCAGUGGCCCAGCUGGAGGCAGACGACCAGGUGUCGUCCAGCUCCACCUUCUGCAAGGUGUACACUCUGACCCCGACGCUCGACAAGAACCGAGAGAAGAGAGGACUCGCUCUGGACGGGAAACUCAAACACGAAGACACCAACCUGUGUGUGUGUGUGUGUGUGUGUGUGUGUGUGUGUGUGUGUGUGUGUGUGUGUGUGUGUGUGUGUGUGUGUGUGUGUGUGUGUUUCAGAGACGUGUCGGUGGAGCUGCCCUUCAUCUUAAUGCAUCCUAAACCUGUGGAGCCGCCGGUGUCCCCUGUGCCAGAGAUGGACCCCCCCAUCGACACCAAUUUGAUAGAAUUCGACACAAACAUCUCCCAGGACGACGACUUCGUGUUCGAGGACUUCGCCCGCCUGCGGCUCAAAGGCGUUGUAGACGACAAGGACGAGGACUGCUAG